rnacentral:rRNA from 1 species
AUUGAACGCUGGCGGCAGGCCUAACACAUGCAAGUCGAACGAGUGGCGGACGGGUGAGUAAUGUCUGGGAAACUGCCUGAUGGAGCGGGCAAACUAGUGGAACCGGUAGAUACUACUGCAUACAGUCGGAUCUGGCAAGCUGGGAUUAGCGAGUCGGUGGGGUAAAGGCUCACCGAGGGGACGAUCCCUAGCUGGUCUGAGAGGGUGACCAGCCACACUGGAACUGAGACACGGUCCAGACUCCUACGGGAGGCAGCAGUAGGGAAUAUUGCACAAUGGUCGCAAGCCUGACCCAGCAAUGCCGCGUGUGUGAAGAAGGCCUUCGGUUUGUAAAGCACUUUUGGCAGGGAGGCGGUAUCUAAAGAAGAAGCACCGGCUAACUCCGUGCCAGCAGCCGCGGUAAUAC